GAGCAGUGGAGCCGGGCUGGGGUAGUGACACAGGCAUUGGAACUGCCUAAAGGGACAGAGAGAGGAGGAGAGAGAAAGAAGGAGUAGACCUGCCGACAAGGAAUGGGCCUAACGUCCCUGCCAGCAGAGAAAGAUCGAACGUCCUUGAAAGAAACAAGUGAGACAAGCCAAUAAACACAAAGGCCUUAUUUUUCCAGUCUCCUGAGGAAAGAAAGAAGCGGCGACAAAGAAAAAUAAACAGUCACAACCUGGACCAAAUGAAAGGACAGUCACAAUCAAUUUUGAAAUGGGUCAUUCAUUAAAUUACAACUUAAUUCAUGUUCUUUUUGCUUUUAAAAGAAUGGUAACAAACAAACACAAAAAUAAAUACAUGUACCUACAAUCAAUUUUGA